AGCACAGAUACACAUGCAUCACAUACUCACACACACACACUCAUACACACUCACACACAGCACACAAACACACCACAGAUACACAUACAUCACACACACACACCCACAGAUACACAUACAUCACACACAGCACACAAACACACCACAGAUACAUAUACUUCACACACACACACAGCACAGAUACACAUACAUCACACACUCACACACACACUCACAGAUGCACAUACAGCACACACAGCACACAAA
rnacentral:lncRNA from 1 species